AGACAUCGGGGAAGAGGCUUCUCCCAGUGCUCUUGCUGCUGGUGGUGGUGAAAUUCGAUCGCUGUUUGGUGUGAAAACAAUAACAUCAUUCCAAUUUCCACAGGAAGCACAUGUCAGUGGCUGCAUUUUUUCUUCUUCUCCAGACACCUAAGAGUGAGCGGCGUUCGUGCGAAGGAAAAUAUGCAAAACACAUCUUUUGUGUGCCAUAGAUCGUGAAGAAAGGAAAAAUUAAGCAGAGACCAAAAAUAGAACACAAUCAUGAUGUCCCUGCGUUCCAAGUUCUCCAUUUCAAACAGGCAACCAGCAGCAAAGUGCUUUUCUCGCAUUAUUUAUCAUUCCUGAUUUGCUUAUACGGACACCGAAGCACACCGAAGGAGGAGAAACACAUUUCGUCCCGUCUUUAUCCUGUGUGAUGCUGCUGCUGCUAUCGGUGGUAUCGCGUCGUGCAGCAUCCCGUAUCGAAGAUUCUUCCGAUCGAACGUCGCUUCCAAUAGUUAUCGCGCGUCCUAAUGACGCACUUGGAUGGGAUGACGCGAAGGACAAACUGUUUUUCUUCUGCCGUCAAUGGGAUAGAAGGCAAGUCAUUUAUCAGCGUCCAUUACGACGGCAUACUACAACAGGGCGUUUGGUGCUCAUUUUCACUUGUAUUGUUGUAUUAAUGAAAUGGGAUUUUUAUUGAAACCUGACAGACGUUGUCCUUGAGUAAUAGAUAUAGUGGAGGCGGCGAGAAGGACAACGUCUAUCGAUCAGGUGGAGCUGCUGGGGCUUUCUCGGCAAAAAGAACACAGCGACAAAGCGUUCUCACAGUAAAGCCCCAGAUGCUGCUCUCUAUCUACACAGCGCCUCGCGUAGUUAUCCUCCACGGACAAUAAAUUGUUUCAAUUUUUCUUGCCAAAACAC